CUCUGGGCGAAGCCCCUUCCCUGGCCCGACGACUCGACGCGCCUCGCCCCCCUCCGCACAGCUCGGAGACUGAGCGGCCGCUGUCACUUCGUCCUACGGAACUUUAGAAGGUUACUUCAUUUUUCAAGAACUGCAACAUUACAGAUAUCAUUGCUAUCUCCAUUUGUCCCUCCCUGAUUUCACUUUCCUCCUUCCCUCCGGAAGAGUAAGCACUGUCCUGACACCACCAGCUGACUCGGGUGGAGGGAGACUCGGGCUGGAACUAUUGCAGCCAAACUAUCAAUGUCCCGCAAUCCAGUCACAAAGACCAAACUGAAAUCUUCCCCUCUUGAGUGGCACCAGAGUGUCAUGAAUGCUCAGACAGGUUGAAACCUCCUGAAGAAAACUUCUGAUGCCUUAACUCUUCCAUUUCAACAGAUCCUAAAGAAGAUAAUAGAGACUAAGAUGCUGAUGGGUGAAGUGAUGAGAGAAGCUCCCUUUUCAUUUGCUGAGGCCAUGUUCACAGCAAGGGACUUCUGCAACACAGUUAUCUACAAUCCCAAGUGAGACUUCCAGAGAAGAAAAAUAAUGCAGCUGGUGUUACUCUGCCAGCAAUUUGAACAUUACCUGAAGGGACAAACCAACAACUGUGAACUGACUAGUUUAGCCAAAAGAAUUAAGCCAAAGCAGUGGAAGUAGCUUCUUCUCAGACUUCCUUUGCUAUUUUGCAUGAAGCUAUUAAGAGAACCAUCAGGUGUGUAAAUGCCACUGAACAUGUCAUCAUUCCCCAGACUGAAAGUACCCUGGCUCAUAUCAUCACAGAGCUGGAUGAGAGAGACUGAGAAGAGUUCAAUAGGUUAAAGAAAAUUCAGAAGAAAAAGAUUCUCAAGGAAAAAUUGGAGAAGGAUUUGGAGCAAUGGAGGGCAGCUGGAGAAGUGAUGGCGUCUAUGGAUCUUUGGCUGAAGAGAAGGGCAAGGAUCUUCUGGUUGAACAAUCUUUCCUGCUCUGGCUCUUUCAGAAGCCCUAACAUGGCACCAUUUCUUUACAUUUGACUGUUUAUCUUUUGGCCCAAGAAUUUCACUGGU
rnacentral:lncRNA from 12 species